ACACAUGCAAGUCGAGCGGUAACAGAAAGUAGCUUGCUACUUUGCUGACGAGCGGCGGACGGGUGAGUAAUGCUUGGGAACAUGCCUUGAGGUGGGGGACAACAGUUGGAAACGACUGCUAAUACCGCAUAACGUCUACGGACCAAAGGGGGCUUCGGCUCUCGCCUUUAGAUUGGCCCAAGUGGGAUUAGCUAGUUGGUGAGGUAAUGGCUCACCAAGGCGACGAUCCCUAGCUGGUUUGAGAGGAUGAUCAGCCACACUGGGACUGAGACACGGCCCAGACUCCUACGGGAGGCAGCAGUGGGGAAUAUUGCACAAUGGGCGCAAGCCUGAUGCAGCCAUGCCGCGUGUGUGAAGAAGGCCUUCGGGUUGUAAAGCACUUUCAGUCAGGAGGAAAGGUUAGUAGUUAAUACCUGCUAGCUGUGACGUUACUGACAGAAGAAGCACCGGCUAACUCCGUGCCAGCAGCCGCGGUAAUACGGAGGGUGCGAGCGUUAAUCGGAAUUACUGGGCGUAAAGCGUACGCAGGCGGUUUGUUAAGCGAGAUGUGAAAGCCCCGGGCUCAACCUGGGAACUGCAUUUCGAACUGGCAAACUAGAGUGUGAUAGAGGGUGGUAGAAUUUCAGGUGUAGCGGUGAAAUGCGUAGAGAUCUGAAGGAAUACCGAUGGCGAAGGCAGCCACCUGGGUCAACACUGACGCUCAUGUACGAAAGCGUGGGGAGCAAACGGGAUUAGAUACCCCGGUAGUCCACGCCGUAAACGAUGUCUACUAGAAGCUCGGGUCCUCGGACUUGUUUUUCAAAGCUAACGCAUUAAGUAGAC
rnacentral:rRNA from 1 species